GAGUCCGUAGCUCAGAUGGUAGAGUGCCAGAUUGUGGCUCUGGUGGUCGUGGGUUCGAAUCCCAUCGGUCUCCCUA
rnacentral:tRNA from 1 species